UCACAUGCAUACAUACAAAAUAUCAGAAGUGUUUAUUGAAGAAUGUGGUGAAAGACACUGGAGCAGAUAAAUAGGUUAUGACUGAAGGUCCUGCUUCCUAGUCUAACCGAGAUGAUUGGGUAGAACGUAAAUAAAACCCAGUAGGUACGUAUGCACCUCACAUGUCUGCUACAAAGAGCAAGCUAGUGACCCCACAUCCUCCCUAAGAUUUGACAGCUUUAAUGGGGAUGUCUUCUAUACUUCUGGACAUAUUUAGGAUGAUAUCUGAGCACCGAAGAACAUAAAGAAAACCACGGCUUCCGGGCAGAGAGAAGAUCUCCUGGGCCCUGAGUACCUCCGAGACAGGCAGGUGUCACAAAGAUACCCCCUUGUCUCAUAUGGCCUCCAUUAAUGAUCCCCAAACUUUCUCUGCUCUUUCCACCCUCUCUCAGACUCCUGCAGUCAUCCUGUGGUCACAUGAAGUGACCCAAGAAAGGGAAGAGACUCUACCUGCCUACAUACUCCACCAAGCCAUUCAUUCUCUGAUUCCUGUGACUUAAAGCUUUGCCAGGAAAACCAGGCCCAGGUGCUCUCAGACCUUACCCAGACAUCAAGGCCUUAGCAAGGACUUCAGCACACAAAGGGAAGAAGUGGAAGCUAUCCUGGGUCCAUUUGACCCAGGACCUUGAAGGAUAGCUUCACAGAACUAGGGCACUGACAUCUGAAAGAGGACACCAGUCUGCUGGCAUCAGCAGAGUGAAGACAAGCAGUUACAGAAUGAAUAUCCAUGCAGUUACUACACAGGCCAGGAACUAGGACACGAAGUCCUGGGGAAGCUUCUCAAUAAUACCAGAAACCAAAGAAACAGAGAUGUUGGCAAACAACACACACCAAAGCUUGGAGAAGGAGCAACUCAGUAAUCACACACUGUGAGACCUGAGCUUUGAUUCUCCACUGAGCUUAUCUGAAACACAAGAGAGAUAACACUAGGCUCAGAUAUGCCAGGGCUUGCAGAAAUUUUACAUCCAGUCCUGCCCACUCAC